AACGAACGCUGGCGGCGUGCCUAACACAUGCAAGUCGAACGGAGAUAAGGGGCUUGCUCCUUAUUUUAGUGGCGCACGGGUGAGUAACGCGUAGAUAAUCUGCCUGAUGAUCUGGGAUAACAGUUCGAAAGGACUGCUAAUACCGGAUAAGCCCACGGGGUCUUUGGACUCUGCGGGAAAAGGGGGGGACCUUCGGGCCUUCUGUCAUCAGAUGAGUAUGCGUACCAUUAGCUAGUUGGUAGGGUAAUGGCCUACCAAGGCUACGAUGGUUUACUGGUCGUGGAGGAGGAUCAGCCACUCUGGUACGGAGACACGCAGCACACCUGAGGGGGAGGGAGCAGUGGGGAAGUGUGCGAAAUGCGCGAAAGCCGGAGGCAGCCACGACGCGGGGGUGAUAUAGGCUUUCGGGUAGUAAAGCUCUGGCAGAGGAAAAGAAGUGUAUUGUGGAUAAUAUCCACGAUACUUGACGGUACCCUCAUAGGAAGCAACGGCUUACUCCGUACCAGCAGCCGCGGUAAGAC
rnacentral:rRNA from 1 species